AGACAGUCGAGGCAAGAAAAUCCUGUGAAUCACACCCCCGUGAUGUAAGAAGUAAACGUGUCUCUGUCAUAGAGGUGGUACGUCGUCUGGCCCAGGGGUAAUAGAGGUGGUUAGUGUGUCUGGGCCCAGGGUAAUAGAGGUGGUUAGUGUGUCUCUGGCCCAGGGUAAUGAGGUGGUUAGUUUGUCUAGGCCCAGGGGUAUGAUGGUGGUAAGUCUGUCUAGGCCCAGGGGUAAUAGAGGUGGUAAGUCUGUCUAGGCCCAGGGGUAAUAGAGGUGGUAAGUCUGUCUGGGCCCAGGGGUAAUAGAGGUGGUUAGUUGUCUGGGCCAGGGGGUAUAGAGUUGGUAAGUCUGUCUGGGCCCGGGGAAUAGAGGUGGUUAGUGUGUCUGGGCCCAGGGGACUAGAGGUGUGUUAGUGUGUCUAGGUCCAGGGGGUAAUAGUAAUGAGGUGGUUAGUCUGUCUAUGCCCAGGGUUAAUAGAGGUAGGUAGUGUGUCUGGGCCCAUGGGGUAAUAGAGUGGUAAGUCUGGUCUGGGCCCAGGGGUAAUAGAGGUGGUUCUGGUGGUUAGUGUCUCGGCCCAGGGGUAAUAGAGGUGGUUAGUGUGUCUGGCCCAGGGGUUAAUAGAGGUGUUAGUGUGUUCUUGGCCCCAGGGGGGUAAUAGAGGUGGUUAGCGUGUGUCUAG
rnacentral:lncRNA from 1 species